rnacentral:rRNA from 1 species
UAUGGUGUCCCAGGCGUAGAGGAACCACACCAACCCAUCCCAAACUUGGUGGUUAAACUCUACUGCAGUGAAGAUACUAUAGGGGAAGCCCUGCGAGAAAAUAGCUCGGUGCCAGGA